rnacentral:rRNA from 1 species
CCCUUAGAUGUUCUGGGCUGCACGCGCGCUACACUGAUGCGCUCAACGAGUUUUAACCUUGCCUGGAAAGGUUGGGUAAUCUUUUUAAAACGCAUCGUGAUGGGGAUAGAUUAUUGCAAUUAUUAAUCUUCAACGAGGAAUUCCUAGUAAGCGCGAGUCAUCAGCUCGUGCUGAUUACGUCCCUGCCCUUUGUACACACCGCCCGUCGCUCCUACCGAUUGUGUGAUCCGGUGAAUAAUUCGGACUGCGGCAUUGACCGGUUCCCGAUCGUUGCUGCGGAAAGUUUAGUGAACCUUAUCACUUAGAGGAAGGAGAAGUCGUAACA